rnacentral:rRNA from 1 species
GAUGAACGCUGGCGGCGUGCUUAACACAUGCAAGUCGAACGGUGAAGCCCAGCUUGCUGGGUGGAUCAGUGGCGAACGGGUGAGUAACACGUGAGCAAUCUGCCCCUGACUCUGGGAUAAGCGCUGGAAACGGCGUCUAAUACUGGAUACGAGCUUCCACCGCAUGGUGAGUUGUUGGAAAGAUUUUUCGGUCAGGGAUGAGCUCGCGGCCUAUCAGCUUGUUGGUGAGGUAAUGGCUCACCAAGGCGUCGACGGGUAGCCGGCCUGAGAGGGUGACCGGCCACACUGGGACUGAGACACGGCCCAGACUCCUACGGGAGGCAGCAGUGGGGAAUAUUGCACAAUGGGCGCAAGCCUGAUGCAGCAACGCCGCGUGAGGGACGACGGCCUUCGGGUUGUAAACCUCUUUUAGCAGGGAAGAAGCGAAAGUGACGGUACCUGCAGAAAAAGCGCCGGCUAACUACGUGCCAGCAGCCGCGGUAAUACGUAGGGCGCAAGCGUUAUCCGGAAUUAUUGGGCGUAAAGAGCUCGUAGGCGGUUUGUCGCGUCUGCUGUGAAAUCCCGAGGCUCAACCUCGGGUCUGCAGUGGGUACGGGCAGACUAGAGUGCGGUAGGGGAGAUUGGAAUUCCUGGUGUAGCGGUGGAAUGCGCAGAUAUCAGGAGGAACACCGAUGGCGAAGGCAGAUCUCUGGGCCGUAACUGACGCUGAGGAGCGAAAGGGUGGGGAGCAAACAGGCUUAGAUACCCUGGUAGUCCACCCCGUAAACGUUGGGAACUAGUUGUGGGGUCCAUUCCACGGAUUCCGUGACGCAGCUAACGCAUUAAGUUCCCCGCCUGGGGAGUACGGCCGCAAGGCUAAAACUCAAAGGAAUUGACGGGGACCCGCACAAGCGGCGGAGCAUGCGGAUUAAUUCGAUGCAACGCGAAGAACCUUACCAAGGCUUGACAUAUACGAGAACGGGCCAGAAAUGGUCAACUCUUUGGACACUCGUAAACAGGUGGUGCAUGGUUGUCGUCAGCUCGUGUCGUGAGAUGUUGGGUUAAGUCCCGCAACGAGCGCAACCCUCGUUCUAUGUUGCCAGCACGUAAUGGUGGGAACUCAUGGGAUACUGCCGGGGUCAACUCGGAGGAAGGUGGGGAUGACGUCAAAUCAUCAUGCCCCUUAUGUCUUGGGCUUCACGCAUGCUACAAUGGCCGGUACAAAGGGCUGCAAUACCGUAAGGUGGAGCGAAUCCCAAAAAGCCGGUCCCAGUUCGGAUUGAGGUCUGCAACUCGACCUCAUGAAGUCGGAGUCGCUAGUAAUCGCAGAUCAGCAACGCUGCGGUGAAUACGUUCCCGGGUCUUGUACACACCGCCCGUCAAGUCAUGAAAGUCGGUAACACCUGAAGCCGGUGGCCCAACCCUUGUGGAGGGAGCCGUCGAAGGUGGGAUCGGUAAUUAGGACU